rnacentral:rRNA from 1 species
AGAGUUUGAUCCUGGCUCAGAACGAACGCUGGCGGCGUGGAUAAGACAUGCAAGUCGAACGGAUUAUCAUGAGUAGCAAUACGAGUGGUGGUUAGUGGCGAACGGGUGCGUAACACGUGGAUACAUUCCGGGAAGCGGGGGAUAGCCCAGGGAAACUUGGAUUAAUACCGCAUGUGAUCGAGAGAUCAAAGGCAGGGACCGCAAGGCCUGCCACUUCCCGAUUGGUCCGCGGCCUAUCAGCUAGUUGGCGGGGUAAAAGCCCACCAAGGCUAAGACGGGUAGCUGGUCUGAGAGGACGAUCAGCCACACUGGCACUGAAACACGGGCCAGACUCCUACGGGAGGCAGCAGUGGGGAAUUUUGCGCAAUGGGCGAAAGCCUGACGCAGCGACGCCGCGCGAGGGAAGAAGGUUUUCGGAUCGUAAACCUCUGUCGGGGGGGAAGAAACUCCUGGUGGUUAAUACCCAUCAGGAUUGACGGUACCCCCUAAGGAAGCAUCGGCUAACUACGUGCCAGCAGCCGCGGUAAUACGUAGGAUGCAAGCGUUGCUCGGAAUUAUUGGGUGUAAAGGGCGCGUAGGUGGCCUGAUAAGUCAUGGGUGAAAGCCCUCGGCUCAACCGAGGAAUAGCCUAUGAUACUGUCGGGCUUGAGUAUGGGAGAGGGAAGUGGAAUUCCUGGUGUAGCGGUGAAAUGCGUAGAUAUCAGGAGGAACACCGGCGGCGAAGGCGGCUUCCUGGACCAAUACUGACACUGAGGCGCGAAAGCGUGGGUAGCAAACAGGAUUAGAUACCCUGGUAGUCC